GACGAACGCUGGCGGCGUGCCUAAUACAUGCAAGUAGAACGCUGAAGGAGGAGCUUGCUUCUCUGGAUGAGUUGCGAACGGGUGAGUAACGCGUAGGUAACCUGCCUGGUAGCGGGGGAUAACUAUUGGAAACGAUAGCUAAUACCGCAUAAUAGUAGAUGUUGCAUGACAUUUGCUUAAAAGGUGCAAUUGCAUCACUACCAGAUGGACCUGCGUUGUAUUAGCUAGUUGGUGAGGUAACGGCUCACCAAGGCGACGAUACAUAGCCGACCUGAGAGGGUGAUCGGCCACACUGGGACUGAGACACGGCCCAGACUCCUACGGGAGGCAGCAGUAGGGAAUCUUCGGCAAUGGACGGAAGUCUGACCGAGCAACGCCGCGUGAGUGAAGAAGGUUUUCGGAUCGUAAAGCUCUGUUGUAAGAGAAGAACGAGCGUGAGAGUGGAAAGUUCACAAUGUGACGGUAUCUUACCAGAAAGGGACGGCUAACUACGUG
rnacentral:rRNA from 1 species